AACUUUCAACAACGGAUCUCUUGGUUCUGGCAUCGAUGAAGAACGCAGCGAAAUGCGAUAAGUAAUGUGAAUUGCAGAAUUCAGUGAAUCAUCAAAUCUUUGAACGCACAUUGCGCCCCUUGGUAUUCCGAGGGGCAUGCCUGUUCGAGCGUCAUUAUAACCCCUCAAGCUCAGCUUGGUGUUGGGGCCUGCUGCACUGGCAGCCCUUAAAAUCAGUGGCGGCGCCAUCUGGCUCUAAGCGUAGUAAUUCUUCUCGCUAUGGAGUCCUGGUGGAUGCUUGCCAUCAACCCCCAAUUUUUCUAUGGUUGACCUCGGAUCAGGUAGGGAUACCCGCUGAACUUAAGCAUAUCAAUAAGCGGAGGCU
rnacentral:misc_RNA from 1 species